GUGGAUUAGAUACCCCGGUAGUCCACGCCGUAAACGAUGAGUACUAGGUGUAGGGGGUAUCGACCCCCUCUGUGCCGAAGCUAACGCGAUAAGUACUCCGCCUGGGGACUACGGCCGCAAGGCUAAAACUCAAAGGAAUUGACGGGGGCCCGCACAAGCAGCGGAGCGUGUGGUUUAAUUCGAUGAUACGCGAAGAACCUCACCCAGGUUUGACAUGCAUGUGGUACUGAGGUGAAAGCUGAGGGACCCUUCGGGGAGCAUGCACAGGUGUUGCACGGUCGUCGCCAACU
rnacentral:rRNA from 1 species